ensembl:snRNA U6 U6 spliceosomal RNA
GUGCUCACUUUGGCAGCACAUAUACUAAGAAGUUGUAACUAUACAGAGAAGAUUAGCAUGGCCCCUACACAAGAAUGACACACAAAUUUGUGAAGCAUUCCAUAUUUUU